AUCCUGGCUCAGAAUCAACGCUGGCGGCGUGCCUAAUACAUGCAAGUCGUACGCGAAAGCCCCGCAAGGGGCCGUAGCGUGGCAAACGGGUGAGUAACGUGUGGGCGACCUACCUCAGAGCGGGGGAUAACCUUCCGAAAGGAGGGCUAUUACCGCAUGACAUCCCGUGUUUGGAUACACGGACAUCAAAGCCGGGGAUUGCAAGACCUGGCGCUUGGAGAGGGGCCUGCGUCCGAUUAGCUAGUUGGUUGGGUAACGGCCCACCAAGGCUUCGAUCGGUAUCCGGCCUGAGAGGGCGGUCGGACACACUGGAACUGAGACACGGUCCAGACUCCUACGGGAGGCAGCAUUAGGGAAUUGUUCGCAAUGGGCGCAAGCCUGACGACGCAACGCCGCGUGUAGGAUGAAGACCUUCGGGUCGUAAACUCCUUUCGACCGAGAUGAAAAACUGCUGACCUAAUACGUCGGCGGACUGACAGUAUCGAGGGAAGAAGCCCCGUCUAACUCCGUGCCAGCAGCCGCGGUAAUAAGGU
rnacentral:rRNA from 1 species